GUGUUCAUUUGGGCAGCACAUAUACUAAAAUUGGAAUACAGAGAUUAGCAUGGCCCCUGUGCAAGGAUGACAUGCAAAUUCGGGAAGCAUUCCAUAUUUUU
rnacentral:snRNA from 1 species